AGCCCUAGGCAUUAAUAUAGGGUAAUACCUGCUCAAUGAAUAGUAUUUUAAUAGCCGCGGUACCUUGACCGUGCUAAGGUAGCAUAAUCAGUUGACUUUUAAAUGAAGUCUGGAAUGAAGGGAAAAACGGGAUUGAGCUGUCUCUUAUUUUUUAUUAUGAAUUUACUAAUCAGGUGAAAAGGCCUGAAUAAGAUAAAAGACGAGAAGACCCUUAGAGUUUUUUAACAUAUUUUGUUGGGGCGACAAAGAAUCAAUUAACAUUCUUAUAUGGAAUAAGACGGAUUUAUCAUGAAUAGAUAAACUACCUGAGGGAUAACAGCAUUAUCUUUUUAGGAUUGUGACCUCGAUGUUGGACUAGGAAGCCUAUAGGCUAGCCGCCUAUACGGGGGGUUCUGUUCGAACUUUUUCUCCU
rnacentral:rRNA from 1 species